rnacentral:sRNA from 1 species
UAUGUUCUGUGUGGCUGACUGCUGCAACUUUAGUUCAUCUGUCUUAAAAUGACAAGGGGCACAAUAAUAAUUUUUUCUUUACUGAGACAGGUUCUCACUGUUGCCUGAAGCACGAGUGCAGUGGCACAAUCACCAUUCACUGCAGCCUUGACUUGCGGGUUCAAGCCAUCCUCUCACCUCAGUUUCCUGAGUAGCUGGGACUACAGUUGCAUGCCACCAUGCCUGGCUAAUUUUUGUGGUUUUGUUUUUGAGACGGAGUCUUGCUCUGUUGCCCAGGCUGAGGCAGGAGAAUCGCUUGAGCCUGGGAGGCGGAGGUUGCAGUGAGCCAGGAUCACGCUACUUUACGCCAGUCUGGGCAGUGGAAAGAGGCGCAGUCUCAAAAAA